rnacentral:rRNA from 1 species
GCGCGUCGACUGUGAAACCCCACGGCUUAACCGUGGGACUGCAGGCGAUACGGGCAGGCUAGAGUUCGGUAGGGGAGACUGGAAUUCCUGGUGUAGCGGUGAAAUGCGCAGAUAUCAGGAGGAACACCGGUGGCGAAGGCGGGUCUCUGGGCCGAUACUGACGCUGAGGAGCGAAAGCGUGGGGAGCGAACAG